rnacentral:lncRNA from 1 species
AUUAAGACUAUAAGCCCCAUGUGGGACAGGGACUGUAUCCAACCUGAUUAACUUGUAUCUACCCCAGUGCUUAGAACAGUGCUUGACACAUAGUAAGUGCUUAACAAGAACCAUAAUUAUUAAUUAUUACUAAUGUGUCUGUUUAUUGUUAUAUUGUACUCUCCUAAGCACUUAAUGCAGUGUUCUGCACACAGUAAGUGCUCAAUAAAUACAUUUGACUGACUGAUUUCCUCUCAUCUGCAGAAAUAGUGGACUUGAUGUAAAGAAGCUUCACAAUGGAUCUUGUAUCGAUUGCAACAGACCAGUGGAGAUUUGCACCAUGGAAAGGAGGCCUCACUGUGGCUCAGAUGGCAGGACUUACGGCAACCAAUGUGACUUCUGUGAUGCCAUUCAGAAAAGUCAUGGAGCUCUUUACUUGGUCAAAUAUGGAGUAUGCUAAAAUUCCUGGUGGCUGAGACACGACAUGUACCUUCUGCUUUCAAUUUCUUCUCCUUAUCCCUAUGUAGAAGCAUCAUUGUUCCUUGGUCUGUGCUCCUAGUCACAUAUUAUCAAGUGUGUUUUCAGUAAAGACUUUCAGCAGCUGCAUUGCUCUCUCCAUUGGUGUCUGUUACUGAGCCAUUCUCCCAAUAUGUUCCCAGUUUUACUCACAAGAAAGACAAUGGAUCUGCUGG